rnacentral:rRNA from 1 species
GCAGCCGCGGUAAUUCCAGCUCCAAUAGCGUAUAUUAAAGUUGUUGCAGUUAAAAAGCUCGUAGUUGAAUUUCGGGGCCAGUUGGUUGGUCGUGCCUAUGGUAUGUACUGGCCUACUGGUUCCUCCUUCUUGAAGAACCGUAAUGUCAUUAAUUUGGUGUUGCGGGGAAACAGGACUGUUACUUUGAAAAAAUUAGAGUGCUUAAAGCAGGCUAACGCCUGAAUACAUUAGCAUGGAAUAAUGAAAUAGGACGUUUGAUCUUAUUUUGUUGGUUUCUAGGAUUGACGUAAUGAUUAAUAGGGAUAGUUGGG